rnacentral:rRNA from 1 species
UACGUAGGGUGCGAGCGUUGUCCGGAAUUAUUGGGCGUAAAGAGCUCGUAGGUGGUCUGUCGCGUCGGCUGUGAAAACUCGGGGCUCAACCCCGAGCCUGCAGUCGAUACGGGCAGACUCGAGUGCGGUAGGGGGAGACUGGAAUUCCUGGUGUAGCGGUGAAAUGCGCAGAUAUCAGGAGGAACACCGGCGGCGAAGGCGGGGUCUCUGGGCCGUAACUGACACUGAGGAGCGAAAAGCGUGGGGGAGCGAACAGGA